rnacentral:rRNA from 1 species
UACGUAGGGGGCAAGCGUUGUCCGGAAUCAUUGGGCGUAAAGCGCGUGUAGGCGGCCAGAAAAGUCCGCUGUGAAAACUCGAGGCUCAACUUCGAGCUGUCGGUGGAAACUUUCUGGCUAGAGUCCGGAAGAGGAGAAUGGAAUUCCUGGUGUAGCGGUGAAAUGACGCAGAUAUCAGGAAGAACACCCGUGGCGAAGGCGGUUCUCUGGGCCUUACCUGACGCUGAGGCGCGAAAGCUAGGGGAGCAAACGGG